rnacentral:rRNA from 1 species
GGACGAACGCUGGCGGCGUGCUUAACACAUGCAAGUCGAACGGAAAGGCCCUGCUUUUGUGGGGUGCUCGAGUGGCGAACGGGUGAGUAACACGUGAGUAACCUGCCCUUGACUUUGGGAUAACUUCAGGAAACUGGGGCUAAUACCGGAUAGGAGCUCCUGCUGCAUGGUGGGGGUUGGAAAGUUUCGGCGGUUGGGGAUGGACUCGCGGCUUAUCAGCUUGUUGGUGGGGUAGUGGCUUACCAAGGCUUUGACGGGUAGCCGGCCUGAGAGGGUGACCGGCCACAUUGGGACUGAGAUACGGCCCAGACUCCUACGGGAGGCAGCAGUGGGGAAUAUUGCACAAUGGGCGGAAGCCUGAUGCAGAAACGCCGCGUGCGGGAUGACGGCCUUCGGGUUGUAAACCGCUUUCGCCUGUGGCGAAGCGUGAGUGACGGUAAUGGGUAAAGAAGCACCGGCUAACUACGUG